rnacentral:rRNA from 1 species
AGCGCCACAAGUGGGAGCCGCGUUUAUUGGGCCUAAAGCGUUCGUAGCCUGCCGGGUAAAUCCCAUGUGAAAUCAUUGCGCUCAACGUAAUGGAUUGCACGGGACACUGCCUGGCUAGGGACCGGGAGGAGUCGGAGGUAUGGGCAGGGGAGCGGUAAAAUGCUAUAAUCCUGCUUGGACCACCGGUGGCGAAGGCGUCCGACUAGAACGGGUCCGACGGUCAGGAACGAAAGCUAGGGGAGCGAUCC